rnacentral:lncRNA from 10 species
GACAAGAGAGUGAGACAGUGGGCUUGAAAGUGUUUUCCAGACCAAGGCUCUGUCCCACAUAUAGGUGGAUUAACUGUCUGGCAAAGGCAGGAAUCCAUUGAAGAGGCCAUCUCCACAUUCAGAACCAAGGUCUCUUCUUCGGCCUUUCUGACAUGGUGCCAGCCCUACUGGAGUCAGCAGGAGUCCAGCACAACAGAUGGUGGUCAGUGGUGACUUCGGCACAGGCAGUUCGUGAGGAGUGGUUGGUGGCCAUGGAGUCCUGACUGGAGUAGGUUAAAAAGAAGGAGGAAAAUCACAAGAAAGAGAGACUGGAGGUGAGGAAGCAGACAUAGAAGGUCUAAAUGUAUUUACUUCUGGAGCUGCCAUAACUAAGAACUGCAGAUUGGGCAUCUUACAGAACAGAAAGGUAUUUUCUUGAUAGUUCUGGAGGCUGGAAAUCCAAAAUCAAUGUGUUGUCAGGGCUGGUUUCUGCUGAGGCCUCUCUCCUUGGCUUGUGGAUGGCUGUCUUCUCCCUGUGUGCCCACAUGCUCUGCCUGUGUUUGUCUGCAUCCUAAUCUCCUCUUCUCGUAAGGACACUAGUCAUACGGGAUUAGGGGCCACCCUAAUGACCUGUUGAUCACCUG